rnacentral:lncRNA from 1 species
AACUCCAUGAUAUAGCUGCAUUACCACUCUGCUAUUCACUUCCUGACUUCAGCUCAAGUGCCUACAGGCCCUAUCCUGCUAAGCCUCCAGAAGAGUGAAUGAUGUUUUCCAGUUGAACACUUACAAUUGGAUCUGGCUAGAACUCAAUGGGCCAGUUCAUUUUGAAGGCAAUGGAAAUGUCUUCUUUGACUUCAAUAAGUUUUGAUUCAGCUCCAUGGUCACAGGACACCAGCUUUGGCCGUACUACAUUGUCAUUCAUCCCUCCCUGCUGCACGCGUGCCUGACCAUAUAGGAAAAUGAGUUUACAACCGACUACGCCUAUGGGACUCCCGGAGGGAUACAAUGUGAGAGCCUUUACUAGUGGUGGAUGGUCCUCAAAAGGUUUGAAAGUUUGGUAAGUACAUCCUUAACCAAACUCUUUUGACCUUUAUUCAGAUUUGUUUUUGGAGGAGGGCAAAGGGUUGGGCCAAUUCUUGUUUCACCCAACUGGCUUGUCCAUCUGUAGGCUGUAAUUAAUCACUAAAUCUCUGCCAUACUUUGCUUUGGAGAGCAGGUCCCAGUACAGCAGGG